GCCAGUUCAAGUGUACUGGUUCAUUCAGCUAAACUAAAAUCUUUGACUGGUUCAAUGGUUCAUUUAGCACAUAUGCAUGGCUGGCAGAACCUGCGUGCAACACAGCAAUAAUUUUAAUAAUAUGAACAUUUUAUGGCUUAGGUAGUCUAUAUACAUGUGUAUUAUAUACUUUCUCAAGAAAACAAUGCAGCUGUUGCAACGCUUCUGAAAAAAAAACCAUGAAUAAACUGAAAUGUAUUCUACAACAUACUUUAUUAGAUACACUUAAAA